UAAAAUUCCCCGUGUACCGGUGAAAUGCGUAAAGAUGUGGAGGAAUACCGGUGGCGAAGGCGGCCUUCUGGACAAAUACUGACGCUAAAAUGCGAAAGCGUGGGGAGCAAACAGGAUUAAAUACCCGGGUAGUCCACGCUGUAAACAAUGUCAAUUUGGAUUUUGUUGCCUAAAGUGAUGGGCUCCAAACCUAACGCGAUAAAUCGACCGCCUGGGGAGUACGGCCGCAAGGUUAAAACUCAAAUGAAUUGACGGGGGCCCGCACAAGCGGUGGAGCAUGUGGUUUAAUUCGAUGCAACGCGAAGAACCUUACCUGGUCUUGACAUCCACAGAAUCUUGCAGAGAUGCGAGAGUGCCUUCGGGAACUGUGAGACAGGUGCUGCAUGGCUGUCGUCAGCUCGUGUUGUGAAAUGUUGGGUUAAGUCCCGCAACGAGCGCAACCCUUAUCCUUUGUUGCCAGCGAUUCGGUCGGGAACUCAAAGGAGACUGCCGUUGAUAAAGCGGAGGAAGGUGGGGACGACGUCAAGUCAUCAUGGCCCUUACGACCAGGGCUACACACGUGCUACAAUGGCGUAUACAAAGGGAGGCGACCUCGCGAGAGCAUGCGGACCUCAUAAAGUACGUCUAAGUCCGGAUUGGAGUCUGCAACUCGACUCCAUGAAGUCGGAAUCGCUAGUAAUCGUGAAUCAGAAUGU
rnacentral:rRNA from 1 species